GGACCGGUAGCUCAGCCGGUAGAGCGGCGGGUUGAAGACCCGCGCGGCGGUGGUUCGAUUCCAUCCCGGUCCACCA
rnacentral:tRNA from 1 species